rnacentral:rRNA from 1 species
AUUGAACGCUGGCGGCAGGCUUAACACAUGCAAGUCGAACGGAGAGAGGUAGCUUGCUACUGAUCUUAGCGGCGGACGGGUGAGUAAUGCUUAGGAAUCUGCCUAUUAGUGGGGGACAACAUUUCGAAAGGAAUGCUAAUACCGCAUACGUCCUACGGGAGAAAGCAGGGGAUCUUCGGACCUUGCGCUAAUAGAUGAGCCUAAGUCGGAUUAGAUAGUUGGUGGGGUAAAGGCCUAACAAGGCGACGAUCUGUAGCGGGUCUGAGAGGAUGGUCCGCGACACUGGGACUGAGACACGGCCCAGAGUCCUACGGGAGGAAGCAGUGGGGAAUAUUGGACAAUGGGCGAAAGCCUGAUCCAGCCAUGCCGCGUGUGUGAAGAAGGUCUUCGAAUUGUAAAGCACUUUAAGUUGGGAGGAAGGGCAGUAAGUUAAUACCUGGUUGUUCUGACGGUACCCAAAGAAUAAGCACCGGCUAACUUCGUGCCAGCCGCCGCCGUAACAC